UAGGGAAUCUUCGGCAAUGGGGGGAACCCUGACCGAGCAACGCCGCGUGAGUGAAGAAGGUUUUCGGAUCGUAAAGCUCUGUUGUUAAGGAAGAACGAGUGUGAGAAUGGAAAGUUCAUGCUGUGACGGUACUUAACCAGAAAGGGACGGCUAACUACGUGCCAGCAGCCGCGGUAAUACGUAAGGUCCGAGCGUUGUCCGGAAUCAUUGGGCGUAAAGGGUACGUAGGCGGGUAAGCAAGUUAGAAGUGAAAUCCUGUAGCUCAACUACAGUAAGCUUUUAAAACUGCUCAUCUUGAGAUAUGGAAGGGAAAGUGGAAUUCCUAGUGUAACGGUGAAAUGCGCAGAUAUUAGGAGGAAUACCGGUGGCGAAGGCGACUUUCUGGCCAUAAUCUGACGCUGAGGUACGAAAGCGUGGGUAGCAAACAGG
rnacentral:rRNA from 1 species